CCAAUAGCGUAUAUUAAAGUUGUUGCAGUUAAAAAGCUCGUAGUUGAAUUUCGGGGUCAGCGGGUUGGUCGUGCCACUGGUAUGCACUGGCUUUGCUGAUUCCUCCUUCUUGAAGAACUGUUAUGCUAUUAAUUUAGUGUUGCAGGGAAACAGGACUGUUACUUUGAAAAAAUUAGAGUGUUUAAAGCAGGCUAUCGCCUGAAUACAUUAGCAUGGAAUAAUGAAAUAGGACGUUUGAUCCUAUUUUGUUGGUUUCUAGGAUUGACGUAAUGAUUAAUAGGGAUAGUUGGGGGCAUUAGUAUUCAAUUGUCAGAGGUGAAAUUCUUGGAUUUAUUGAAGACUAACUACUGCGAAAGCACUUGCCAAGGAUGUUUUCAUUAAUCAAGAACGAAAGUUAGGGGAUCGAAGACGAUCAGAUACCGUCGUAGUCUUAACCAUAAACUAUGCCGACUAGGGAUCGGAUGAUGUUAAUUUUUUAAUGACUCAUUCGGCGCCUUACG
rnacentral:rRNA from 1 species